rnacentral:rRNA from 1 species
AGCUCCAAUAGCGUAUAUUAAAGUUGUUGCAGUUAAAAAGCUCGUAGUUGGAUCUCGGAUCCCGGCUCGCGGUCCACCUCGCGGUGGUCACUGCCCGUCCGGAUCUACCUCCCGGUUUUCCCUUGGUGCUCUUGACUGAGUGUCUCGGGUGGCCGGAACGUUUACUUUGAAAAAAUUAGAGUGUUCAAAGCAGGCGCUUCGCCUGAAUAAUGGUGCAUGGAAUAAUGGAAUAGGACCUCGGUUCUAUUUUGUUGGUUUUCGGAACUUGAGGUAAUGAUUAAGAGGGACAGACGGGGGCAUUCGUAUUACGGUGUUAGAGGUGAAAUUCUUGGAUCGCCGUAAGACGAACUACUGCGAAAGCAUUUGCCAAGAAUGUUUUCAUUAAUCAAGAACGAAAGUA